ACAACACACAGCACAGUUUUCAUGUUUGUUAUGUGUUUUCUCUUCCUUAUAGAUCUGUUAGAGCCACGUCAAGGACUGCUGUGUCCAGGAGUGGAGAAAGGCUUAUGUGAGACAAGAGACUCUACUGUCAGAAGAAAGCAAGUGAUUUCAUCCUAGGUAACAGCUGACUCCUAUCUUCAGUUUUGUGUUCCUCGAAGAAUUCACUAGGAAAAUUCACGUGGAGCAACUCCAGCUAAAGAAGCAUGAAGACUAGUCUACUGGGGAAAGAAGAAAUGGGUUUCCAUGGACCUAUCAAUGAUACUCAUCACAGGAUUCUGCAAUUUGGUGUGCAUCAGCUUUUGGAGUGAGCCUCUCAAAUCUCUACAGACCAAUGGAGACCAAGCAAGAUGCUCUCUAGCUGAACUAAGAAGAAAGGCAGCAAGUUUGGCCCAAAAGGUAGGAGAAGAUCUCAAUGCUCAGUGUGGGUCUGGUCACAGAGGAAAGUUACCACAAUGACACAAGACUAGAAGUCAUUCUGUCAUAACGAGUGAGUGAUAAGCAAUUAGUGUCUACCUGCUUUGAUAUGUAAAACACCGUUGCCAUCAAAGUCCAGGGGAAAAAGAAUCAUGGUUUUAUAAAUACAGCUUUAAACACCAUAUUUACAGAUGUAUUUGAAACUUCUGACUGCUUUGAGUAAGUGGUCUCCUUGAAAAUG
rnacentral:lncRNA from 1 species